CUGUACGAUAUUUUAAAAACAAUCUUAUACCAGAAUAAGACAAAGCAACUGUUCUCUAGAUGUGUUAGAAUGUUGGAUCUAAUGGAUGAUUCCGCCCCGCCUAGUGUUAUUAAAAAAUGGAAUACUGAAUUAAAAACAAAUAUAGAAUUAUCUGAAUGGCUAUCUAUGGCACAAAAAAAAUCAAUAAAUAUGUCCACUCCUUUGUAU